rnacentral:rRNA from 1 species
UACGGAGGGUGCAAGCGUUAAUCGGAAUUACUGGGCGUAAAGCGCACGCAGGUGGCUGAGUCAGUCGAUUGUGAAAGCCCUGGGCUUAACCUGGGAAUUGCAGUCGAUACUACUCAGCUAGAGUAUGGGAGAGGGUAGUGGAAUUCCCGGUGUAGCGGUGAAAUGCGUAGAGAUUGGAAAGAACACCGAUGGCGAAGGCACUUUACUGGGCUAUUACUAACACUCAGAGACGAAAGCUAGGGUAGCAAACGGGG